CCUGCGGAAUAUUUGCUCAGAGCUUCUUUUUUUGCUAGCGAGUGAGGUAUAUUAUUUGGUAUCAAACAUAUUCUCUUUGUCAUUUAUCUUUCCCCUUUCUUCUCUAUUCAAACUCCUCAUCCACGUCUCAGAAAAACCAACCCAGCUACCAGGAAAAGGACACUUGAACCAGAGGCAAGUGGGUGGAAUUUCUUGAACAAUUUCCAUAUGUUAUUAGACAUAAGAAAGGUUUGCCUCAGUCCAAGAUAGGAAAGGACUAGUGGUGAUCCUCCUUGGCACUUAUCUUGGAUCCUUCCAAGUGGCGUGACUUCAUUCUCCUAAGUUUCCUUUCCUUUCUCUCUUUCAUUUUUAGUCUUUUAAUUCUAUUUCUAAUUAUUCUUGUUUAGUUCUUAGUUUUCUUUUCUAUCUAGGCAUGUUGUUCCAUAUCAAUACACAUGAGGAAGAUGAUUCCCUUAAUAAAGAAAAUCCAAGAUCCAACCUAGAGGGGAUAGGUCAUUCUCAAUGCUAAAAAUUAUCAAUGACAAUGCCUAUAAGAUUGAUUUUCCAUGUGAGUAUAAUGUUAGUAGCACUUUUAAUGUUUUUGAUUUAUCUCCUUUUAUUGCAGAGGAUAAAGAUUUGGGUUUGACAACAAAUCUUUCUCAAGAGGUAACAAGGGAAUGACAUGGACAUCGAAGCUAACGGACAUGAUUAGAAUGAUUAAGACCAAGACCAAGUUCAAGAUUUAGGUGGAUCCAUGACUAUAGAAGGCACAGAAAAGACAAGGCAUUACAGCAUAAGGUAGCUCAUCUAAUGUAGGCUAAAUUGUGGAAGGCCCAACAAUUUUAGGACACUAGGUUGAUUACAUGUAUAACAUGCUUGGAGGGAUAAUAUCAAAUUGUUCAAAAUAUUGAUUGAAGUUAGGAUUUGAACUUGGAACCACAAGUUUAAAAUGUAUUUAGUUAAGUUGGCAAAAUUAACUUUAUUUGUGAUUAA